rnacentral:rRNA from 1 species
UGAACGCUGGCGGCGUGCUCAACACAUGCAAGUCGAACGAAGCACCUCUAAUUGAAGAUUGACGAAGCUUGCUUCUGAUUGAUUCGCCUUGAGGUGACUGAGUGGCGGACGGGUGAGUAACGCGUGGGUAACCUACCCUAUACAGGGGGAUAACAGUUGGAAACAGCUGCUAAUACCGCAUAAGCGCACAGCUUCGCAUGAAGCAGUGUGAAAAACUCCGGUGGUAUAGGAUGGACCCGCGUCUGAUUAGCUAGUUGGUGAGGUAACGGCUCACCAAGGCGACGAUCAGUAGCCGACCUGAGAGGGUGACCGGCCACAUUGGGACUGAGACACGGCCCAAACUCCUACGGGAGGCAGCAGUGGGGAAUAUUGCACAAUGGGCGAAAGCCUGAUUGCAGCGACGCCGCGUGAACGAAGAAGUAUUUCGGUAUGUAAAGUUCUAUCAGCAGGGAAGAAAAAUGACGGUACCUGACUAAGAAGCUCCGGCUAAAUACGUGCCAGCAGCCGC